CGGCGGUUGCACCGGGCGUUGGUCCCGGCGGGACAAAGGCACUGCCGGCGCACCUUCCUCCCCCUGGCGGCCGCGGGCGGGAGCGUGAGGGACGGCCCGGACCGCAGGGCCCCCUCAGGCUAACCGGGGCUUGAAGGAGAAAAGCAAGGAAGAAGUAGAAAAAUGGGAAAGCAGCUUGGAAGCCCAAACCACUGAAAGACAGACUGUUUCAUUGGAAGAGUGAUGAGGACGAGGAAGAAGUGUGUGUUACUGCACAAUUCAGGGAGCUCCAUUGAAGACAGCCUGUCUGAGGCACAUCUCCCUCCUUCAUUUUGAUGUUCUUGCAUGGGCAUCUCAAUAUAUUCUGUUCAAGACUAUCCCCAUGUAUUACAUGAAGUAAAUACAACAUGAUUAGCUAGCAAAUGGAAUAUUCCAAGUACUGGAACAACGAGCUCAGAGAAGACUUCAAUGUGUUGUAUCUGCUGAACUUUCUUUAGCUCUUGAGGUUCUAUUUUUGUGCUCAGUAUUGCAACUGAACUUCACAAACCGUGACACCACACUAAACAGGCUCGAAUGUGUGACUUUUAAACAGCUGAAGAUGAAGAAUUAGCAUUUUCAACAGCUAUUACUAAGUGUCCCUUAUGGCAGCAGAGAUGAAAUCCCCAUACUUUCCAAAUGCAAGCUUAGGCUGACUUUUCUCAGUGGUUUUUUGCAUGCAUCUGCAUGGCACAGAGAAGCAUUAAGCCAUGAGGUAUUUGAUAGGCAGCAGUUCUGCUGCUGUAGGUGUCCCACUGCAAACUGUUUGCUCUGCAAGAAGAGACUGCAGCCAAACAGGCAGCAAUUCUUGCAUUUCAGAAGUAUCACUAGAAAUUUAAGGUUAAUGUAGUAGCUAGUCUAUAAAAUCUAAAAGCCAUGUGUGCGUUCCAGAGAUUGCAAUUUUCAGCUGAAAAAUAUGACCUGCCUGGAAAUAAAGUGGACAUUUACUCAAAAAUUUUAAGCUUAAAAUUUGCAGAACAGCUUUAUUAGAACCAGGAUACUCAAAAGAACUGACAUGGGAACAGGGUAGAGAAGGAGGAAGAGAAGAUUUACAAAAAUUCCCCUGAAACCUUUUCGUUUCAGUGUAAUCAGCAACUUGUCUACAUUGAACUAGCCCUGAAAGUCUAAAGUUGAUUUAGUUGAUUUAUUUAGCAUUUUUUUAGUGUUCACACUGAAAAGAAUUUUAAAAGUAUUGUUAUUAAAAUUGUGCCCUGUAGUUCUUGCAUCACCUCUUUGCUUUCUGCAUCUAGUCUGAAACUUUGUACCCAACAGCACUGAAGGCACAGAAGAGUGAUUGAGAGCAAAAUUAAUGUUAUUUUAAUAUUACUCUUUCAAAAACUGGGGUAAUCCCAAACCUAACCCCUCCCCAGCCUAGGGCAAGAAAGUAUUCUUGCCAAAUUAGCUUCAGUGUUUUCACCCAAUUUAUUUAAUUUGGUGCUUCACUUGAUGGUGAAAGGAGAACAGGGAGCAGGGUUUACUGGCACUACCUUUUGGGAAAAGGGCCCUCUGUCACAGAGACUGUUUUGCAUAAUAGUUGUGGCAAAUUCCACCUUAAUUGUCUACUCUCACCAAAGCAGGAGUUGGGGGAACUGCUGCUCAAGAGGACAAAGCAACCAGCCCAGGAGCCUUGGUCUCAUCAGAGGGAAACAAGAAGCCAAAGACAUCAGGUUACACAGAAAUAUUCUCAGGUAUUUUCCUUUUGUGGUAAAUGUUCCCCCCAGACAGCAUGAGCAGGCUGCAGAUAGGAAGUAACAGUAGCAUUAAGAGAAUUUGAAGGAGGUAAGCAGGCUACUUUGGUGUUUUAGAAUGAAAAGGCAUGGUAGGGGGCAGUCUUUGUGUAAAUAAGCAUUUGUAAAUAAGAAUUUAAAAAUCAAAACAACCAAAAAACUCCAAAGCUAUGGGGGCUUAAGGAAAAACAUAUUUAGAAGCUUCAAAUACACAGAAGUGACAUCUGUUUUAAGAAGUGAAAUUAUAAUGAGUCAUUUGUAAGGAUUUCCCCCGUCCCAGCCUCCCCAAAUAAGGGCACCUGGUGUAAUAGCUAUUAAUGCAUCAUAUGGCCAAUUUCCCAGCUUCAUAAAGGGUUUUGUGCUUUGAUAGACGCUCAAAUGAACUAACCUAGAGACUGCAGGUAUCUUUCAAAAAUAUGGACAAUAUCCACUAGUUUAAAAUGUUGCCCUUAAAAGCCAGUUCCACCUUAAUGACACAUAUCACUGCAGUUGUGUGAGAAUGGGUCCUGCUUUCAUCAUCAGAGGAUCCUUUUUCUCAAGCACAUUCCAAAUUCAGUUUCAAGUUUAUAUCCUGAACCUUGACAACUGUUCUGAUACUGACGUGUGCCAUGCAUCCAUAAUCAGAAGCCUAAUUUUUUUCUUCCAAACAAUUUACGCAGUGGUUCAUCAGCAGGUCAUGCAUUUCCCCAUGUGUCCUCCCCCAAUCUUUACUUAACUGUUGACCUAAGCAAAAUUUUCAGGACUGCAGUUAAAGACAUAGCUAAGAACACCCACUGAAACUUCUCAGUCCACAAUUCAAUCUUCUAUUUUAAAAAGUGUGCUUAACUUGAGGGAGUUAAGUGCACAACAAAAUAUAUGAUUGUUCUUAAAUAAAUUUAGGUAUUUUGAAAACAUGGAGGUAACUCAGGUCAAGGGAGGUGAUCCUGUCCCUUUACUCAGCCCUAGAGAGGCCACACCUGGAGUGCUGUGUCCAGUUUUGGGCUCCUCAGGACAAGAGAUAUGGAGCGCCUGGAUCAGGUCCCGUGGAGGAGAGCAAAGAUGAUUAAGGGAAGGGAGCAUCCCUCUCUCAAGGAAAGGCUGAGGGAGCUGGGCCUUCAGAAGAGAUGGCUGAGAGGGGACCUCAUCAAUGUCUGCCAGUAUCCAAAGGGGGACUGCCAAGAGGAUGGAGCCAGGCUCUUCUUGGUGGUGCCCAGCAAUAGGGCAAGAGGCAACAGGCUGAAAGCUCUUCUGGAAUGUGAGGAAGAACAUUUUUACUGUUCAGGUGACUAUGCACUGGAACAGGCUGCCCAGAGAUUGUGGAGUCUCCCUCACUGGAUUCAAGAACUGCCUGGACAACUCCAUGUGCUCUGAGAGGGCCCUGCUUGAGCGGGGAUGUUGGAGCAGGUGAUCCCCAUUGUGGUCCCUUCAAACCUGGCCCAUUCUGUGAAUUUGCCAGAACCACUACAGAAUGCAGGAAUUGGGGAAGAAGAGCGCCACCAUGUUCAAAAUAGAGAGAUUUCUAACUAAUCAGAGAAAUUAAGACUGAUUUAAAAAAAAAAAACAAACCAAAACAAAAAAAAAAAAAAAAAAACAAAAAAAAAAAAAAAAAAAAACCUAGAAAACCUGAACCCAUUAAAAUGUCUUGGCAAUCAUUUGAUAAAGAUAUAUCUUUUACAUUUCCUAGUCUGAGGCUGUAAAUGGAAAGUAACCACAAAUUUCACAGAGGAAAAAGUGAUGUUCAACAUUUGUGUACUGAAAGCUUAAGUAAAGUCCUAACCUUGGUCAACUACUACUUAGACAACACACUGCAGCCAGCAGCAGGAUCCUUAGUCUAAUGAGUGUGCUCUGAAAACAUUGCAGCACAAACUACCCAAGUUAGAUAAGCUACUUUCACUCCUAGGAACAAACACUGCAGAUUUAUCCCCUUCCUUCCAGAAACAAUGUUUUAAGGAAGUUUAAAUAUCUGCCACUGAUGUUAUUCACUGAGAAUUAAAAACAUAAAAGCAUGUUUUAAGAUGUUUUACACCACAUCCUUAGAUGUAACUGUAAAUGAACAAGAACACCAUGGCUUCAAUGAAAGUUAUUUAAAUUUGAAUGCAGAGAAUACUUUAUUAACUGAUUACAGUUUUGAUGACCAAUUUUAAACCAUAAGUAGUGUGGGAAACAUAGUGGGGGACAUUAAGGCUGAGCCAUAUAUAUAUAGACAAAUCUGGAUACUGAUAUUCUGUACAUUUAACCUCUGCUUUUUCUUUAUACAUCUUUUAUUCAGUGUCUGCAAUUAAUCAAAGAGGAAAAAACAAAAAAAAAAAACCCAGCCACUAAUUUAGUCUUAUACCUGGAAUGAAUAUUUGCAUGGGUUUUUGAAUGCAGUGUAAAUUUCAGUGGAGAUCAAACAGAUUUUUUUUUUAAACCAUAUUCCCAAUGAUGUGUUUAA